CGUCGAGUGCAGCCGCUUGCACCAGUGAGCUGGUCCAGCGAUAAUUGGGCCGCACUCUCAACGGGCCUCCGAUUGGCCCAUGAUGACAGAGCACGAAAGCAGAGCAGCGCGUGCAGUGUGACCCUCUCUGACUGCCCAGGUUAUCUUCUGAACUCCCCACCAUAGCAGCCUCCCUUCUCCCGUCGCUGCUUUCUCUCAAGGUCACUUCAUCGGCUUCCGGCCCACGAGAACAAACCGAACGGAAACAGGAAUUGAGGUGAGCAGAAGUUGAGGGUGGUGGUGAAGCCGCCGGAGAUACCAAAGCUAGUGCUGCUGCGGUUCACAUGAACGGAGAAGCACACGGAGCUCGCGCCGGAACGGGUGAUCCCGGGCGGCCAAGGUGCCAUUCCCACUGAUCCCCUACUACUUCUGGCGCCGCAGGGACCCGAGGAAGGAGCUCAAAGUCCAAGAUCACCGAUCGACAGUCAACCUCUGGCAGUAGAGAGGCAGCAACAUGUAGAUCCCUCUUCCUCUCGUCCCAUACCUUCAAGAAUCUUCAGUUCGAUGCAAAAAAAUCUCGAACUUGUCACCGUAGAAGUGUUUCUCUAUAAAAGGAGGACUUCAAAUUGACUUUUGUCCAAAUGUGCUCUUGCUUCAGAAAAGAUUCUUGCACUAGAUUUGUAGUGUAUGAGAUAUGGGUUUGUACUGCCUUCAACACCAAUUUGGGCUUACAUAUUAAUCUCCAUGGUUCUCUA